AUUGAACGCUGGCGGCAGGCCUAACACAUGCAAGUCGAGCGGAUGACGGGAGCUUGUUCCUGGAUUUAGCGGCGGACGGGAGAGUAAUGCUUAGGAAUCUGCCUGGUAGUGGGGGAUAACGUCUGGAAAUGGGCGCUAAUACUUAAUACGUCCUGAGGGGGAUAGUGGGCGUUCUUCGGAUCUCACACUAUCAGAUGAGCCUAGGUUGGAUUCGCUAGUUGUCGGGGUGAUGGCCUACCAAGGCGACGAUCAGUCACUGGCCUGAGAGGAUGAUCAGUCGCACUGGAACUGAUACACAGUCCGGACUCCUCCGGGAGGCAGCAGUGGGGAGUAUUGGGCGAUAGUGGAAAACCUGAGCCAGCCAUGCCGCGUGUGUGAAGAAGGUCUUCGGAUUGUAAAGCACUUUAAGCUUGGUGGAAGGUCAGCAAGGUAAGACCGUGCUGGUUUGGCGUGACCGACAUAAUAAGCACCGGCUAACUUCGUG
rnacentral:rRNA from 1 species